rnacentral:lncRNA from 1 species
CCACCACACUUUGGAAAACUGUGACUCUUUGCUCCCCAUUUUUCAGAAUAAGAAUGUGAGUAACAAAAUGCUACGGCAGGCUCAGCAGAAGGAAGAGUGGUUAACAGCUGCUAUUCCAGACGACAGUGCAAUGCCUUGUCAUCCUGGUUUCAGGAGACCCCCGCCGCACUCAAAACACCCGCCAGAAACUCUGUCCUAUCUAAGAUACGAUUGCAAUUACGAGGCGUCCAUCUUUAGGAAACCUGUCGCAUUUCCUUGUACAUUUCCAAGAUCCCUGGCUUCUUAGAACUUGAAGAAAAGGCAAAGCAAUAUUCUGAACUGUUGACGUGCCACGCAGUGNGAUGAAAAAAUACAGAGUCAGGCAGGAAACAGCAAAAUCCCUUCUAUUAGCCAACCCACAUUCGGUCCCUUCUGCUGGAUUUGGGGUGCACAACUGAAACGGACGUCUGCAGGAGUUC